rnacentral:rRNA from 1 species
AGUGAACGCUGGCGGUAGGCCUAACACAUGCAAGUCGAACGGCAGCACGGUAAGAGCUUGCUCUUACGGGUGGCGAGUGGCGGACGGGUGAGGAAUACAUCGGAAUCUACUUUUUCGUGGGGGAUAACGUAGGGAAACUUACGCUAAUACCGCAUACGACCUACGGGUGAAAGCAGGGGAUCUUCGGACCUUGCGCGAUUGAAUGAGCCGAUGUCGGAUUAGCUAGUUGGCGGGGUAAAGGCCCACCAAGGCGACGAUCCGUAGCUGGUCUGAGAGGAUGAUCAGCCACACUGGAACUGAGACACGGUCCAGACUCCUACGGGAGGCAGCAGUGGGGAAUAUUGGACAAUGGGCGCAAGCCUGAUCCAGCCAUACCGCGUGGGUGAAGAAGGCCUUCGGGUUGUAAAGCCCUUUUGUUGGGAAAGAAAAGCAGCAGGUUAAUACCCCGCUGUUCUGACGGUGCCCAAAGAAUAAGCACCGGCUAACUUCGCG